GUCUGGGUGGCUCAGUCGGUUGAGAGUCUGACUUCAGCUCAGGUCACGAUCUUAUGGUUUGUGGGUUCGAGCCCCGCGUCGGGCU
rnacentral:tRNA from 1 species